rnacentral:rRNA from 1 species
GCUGAAACUCGCCUACAUGAAGCUGGAGUUACUAGUAAUCGCAGAUCAGAAUGCUGCGGUGAAUGCGUUCCCGGGUCUUGUACACACCGCCCGUCACACCACGGGAGUUGGAGACGCCCGAAGCCGACUAUCUAACCUUUUGGAAGAAGUCGUCGAAGGUGGAAUCAAUAACUGGGGUGAAGUCGUAACAAGGUAGCCGUAUCGGAAGGUGCGGCUGGAUCACCUCCUUUCUAAGGAGA